rnacentral:rRNA from 1 species
UCAAGUUAUUAAGGGUGCAGGGCGAAUGCCUUGGCACUAGGAGCCGAUGAAGGACGUGAUAAGCUGCGAUAAGCUUCGGGGAGUUGCACGUAAACUUUGAUCCGAAGAUUUCCGAAUGAGGAAACUCACUUAGAGUAAUGUCUAAGUAUCGUUAAGUGAAUACAUAGCUUAGCGAGGGGAACCCGGGGAACUGAAACAUCUAAGUACCCGGAGGAAGAGAAAGAAAUUCGAUUCCGUAAGUAGCGGCGAGCGAACGCGGAACAGGCCAAACCAAUGAAGUUUACUUCGUUGGGGUUGCGGACAUACAACAUGGAUGCAAUAUCGUAAAUGAAGAGAGUUGGAAAGCUCCGCCAUAGAAGGUAAUAGCCCUGUAGUUGAAACGAGAAAGCUACUAGUAUGAUCCAGAGUACCACGGGACACGUGAAACCCUGUGGGAAGCAGGAGGGACCAUCCUCCAAGCCUAAAUACUACCUAGUGACCGAUAGCGCAUAGUACCGUGAGGGAAAGGUGAAAAGAACCCCGGGAGGGGAGUGAAAGAGAACCUGAAACCCUGUGUUUACAAGCUGUGGAAGUGCUUUAUAUGCACAACCGCGUACUUUUUGUAGAACGGUCCGGCGAGUUACGGGUACCGGCAAGGUUAAGCACUUAAGGUGUGGAGCCGAAGGGAAACCAAGUCUGAACAGGGCGUCAAGUCAGUAUCCGUAGACCCGAAACCGGGUGAUCUACCCAUGUCCAGGUUGAAGUUGCCGUAAAAGGCAAUGGAGGACCGAACGCACAUCCGUUGAAAAGGGUGGCGAUGAGGUGUGGAUAGCGGAGAAAUUCCAAUCGAACCCGGAGAUAGCUGGUUCUCCCCGAAAUAGCUUUAGGGCUAGCGUUGCGAUAGAUUACCGAAGGUAGAGCACUGAAUAGGCUAGGGGGCGAUGAGCUUACUGAACCUUAUCAAACUUCGAAUGCCGGAUAAUUGAUGCAUAGCAGUCAGACAGUGUGAGAUAAGUUUCAUUGUCGAAAGGGAAACAGCCCAGACCCACAGCUAAGGUCCCAAAUAUAUGCUAAGUGGAAAACGAUGUGGGGUUGCGAAAACAACCAGGAUGUUGGCUUAGAGGCAGCCACUCAUUAAAAGAGUGCGUAAUAGCUCACUGGUCGAGUGACCCUGCGCGGAAAAUGUAACGGGGCUAAGCAUAUAACCGAAGCUUGGGAUAUCCAAUGGAUAUGGUAGGGGAGCGUCGAAUACGGGGCGAAGUCGUAGCGGAAGCAACGGUGGACUGUAUUCGAGUGAGAAUGCCGGAAUGAGUAGCGAGAAUUAUGUGGGAAUCAUAAUGGCCGAAAAUCUAAGGUUUCUUGGGGAAGGUUCGUCCGCCCAAGGUAAGCCGGGAGCUAAGGCGAGGCCGCAAGGCGUAGUCGAUGCACAUACGGUAGAAAUUCCGUAGCCACCGAACUUUAAACCAGAAGGACACUUGCAGAUAGCGGAACCCAGCCGUUGGUUGAGCUGGGCGAAAGGGACUGAAAUAUAGUAGGGAAGUCCGCGAUGCUGUGAGGCGAGAAAAGCUCUGGUGUAUACUAAGGUGCCCGUACCGCAAACCGACACAGGUAGAUGAGGAGAGAAUCCUAAGGCCAACGGGAGAAGGGUUGUUAAGGAACUCGGCAAAUUGACCCCGUAACUUCGGGAGAAGGGGUGCUCCAGAGAUGGAGCCGCAGAGAAUCGGCCCAAGCAACUGUUUACCAAAAACACAGGUUUGUGCUAAAUCGAAAGAUGACGUAUACGAGCUGACGCCUGCCCGGUGCUGGAAGGUUAAAAGGAGAUGUGCAAGCAUUGAAUUGAAGCCCCAGUGAACGGCGGCCGUAACUAUAACGGUCCUAAGGUAGCGAAAUUCCUUGUCAGGUAAGUUCUGACCCGCACGAAAGGUGUAACGAUUUGGGCGCUGUCUCGGCAGCAGACUCGGUGAAAUCUUAGUACCUGUGAAAAUGCAGGUUACCCGCAACUAGACGGAAAGACCCCAUGGAGCUUUACUGCAGCCUGAUAUUGAAUUCUGGUCAUACAUGUACAGGAUAGGUGGGAGACAAAGAGACGUGCACGCCAGUGUACGAGGAGUCGACGUUGGGAUACCACUCUUGUGUGACCGGGGUUCUAACCUGGUAUCGAGAACAGGUACGGGGAGAGUGUCAGGUGGGCAGUUUGACUGGGGCGGUCGCCUCCCAAAGAGUAACGGAGGCGCCCAAAGGUUCCCUCAGAAUGGUUGGAAAUCAUUCAUAGAGUGUAAAGGCAGAAGGGAGCUUGACUGCGAGACGGACAGGUCGAGCAGGAACGAAAGUUGGGCUUAGUGAACCGGCUGUGCUGAAUGGAAAGGCAGUCGAUCAACGGACAAAAGCUACCCUGGGGAUAACAGGCUGAUCUCCCCCAAGAGUUCACAUCGACGGGGAGGUUUGGCACCUCGAUGUCGGCUCAUCGCAUCCUGGAGCGGAAGUACGUUCCAAGGGUUGGGCUGUUCGCCCAUUAAAGCGGUACGCGAGCUGGGUUCAGAACGUCGUGAGACAGUUCGGUCCCUAUCUGUUGUGGGCGAAGGAGAUCUGCGGAGAGCUGUCCUCAGUACGAGAGGACCGGGAUGGACCUACCGCUGGUGCACCGGUUGUUCCGCCAGGGGCAUAGCCGGGUAGCUAAGUAGGGAAAGGAUAAGCGCUGAAAGCAUCUAAGCACGAAGCCUACUCCAAGAUGAGAUCUCCCAUUCGCAAGAAGUAAGACCCCUUAAAGACGAUAAGGUAGAUAGGCCAGGGAUGGAAGUGCAGUGAUGUACGGAGUUGACUGGUACUAAUCGGUCGAGGACUUAAUCAG